AUACGGAGGGUGCAAGCGUUACUCGGAAUCACUGGGCGUAAAACGCGCGCAGGCGGCCCGAUAAGUUGGAUGUGAAAGCCUACGGCUCAACCGUAGAACUGCAUCCAAAACUAUUAGACUAGAGUGUGGGAGAGGAAGAUGGAAUUAGUUGUGUAGGGGUAAAAUCCGUAGAGAUAACUAGGAAUACCAAAAGCGAAGGCAAUCUUCUGGAACACUACUGACGCUGAGGCGCGAAAGCGUGGGGAGCAAACAGGAUUAGAAACCCUAGUAGUCC
rnacentral:rRNA from 1 species